GGGAGCAGGCCGAGGGCUGGGGGCUCAGAAGGCAGCAUCUGGGGCGUCUCCACCAUGGCCUGGGCUCUGCUCCUUGUCACCCUCCUCACCCAGGACACAGGGUCCUGGGCCCAGUCUGGCCUGACUCAGCCUCCCUCAGUGUCCGGGAAUCUGGGACAGACAGUCACCAUCUCCUGUGCUGGAACCAGUAGUGACAUCGGGGGUUAUAACUAUGUCAGCUGGUACCAACAGUUCCCAGGCACGGCCCCCAAACUCUUGAUUUAUGAGGUCAAUAAACGACCCUCAGGGAUCCCUGAUCGCUUCUCUGGCUCCAAUUCUGGCAACACGGCCUCCCUGACCAUCUCUGGGCUCCAGGCUGGGGACGAGGCCGUUUAUUACUGUAGCUCAGCUGGAGCUCUCACCACUGAGGCCAACGGGAGGCAGCAGGGCCCAGAUUUAGGGGAGGUUGUCUGUGCUGUCAUCCUGUCCUGUCCAAAGGCCCAGCAGCUUCUUCCAAGCCAGUCCUAA